CACCUACGGGGCGCAGCAGUAGGGAAUCUUCCACAAUGGGCGAAAGCCUGAUGGAGCAACGCCGCGUGAGUGAAGAAGGUUUUCGGAUCGUAAAGCUCUGUUGUUGGUGAAGAAGGAUAGAGGUAGUAACUGGCCCCUAUUUGACGGUAAUCAACCAGAAAGUCACGGCUAACUACGUGCCAGCAGCCGCGGUAAUACGUAGGUGGCAAGCGUUGUCCGGAUUUAUUGGGCGUAAAGCGAGCGCAGGCGGAAAGAUAAGUCUGAUGUGAAAGCCCCCGGCUUAACCGAGGAAUUGCAUCGGAAAC
rnacentral:rRNA from 1 species